UGGUGGAUGCCUUGGCGAUCACAGGCGAUGAAGGACGUAGUAGCCUGCGAAAAGCUGCGGGGAGCUGGCAAACAAGCUUUGAUCCGCAGAUGUCCGAAUGGGGAAACCCACUCCGCAAGGAGUAUCCCUGACUGAAUACAUAGGUCAGUGGAAGCGAACCGGGUGAACUGAAACAUCUCAGUAGCUCGAGGAAAAGAAAUCAACCGAGAUUC
rnacentral:ncRNA from 1 species